AGGCUAUAAUAUCUCGAAUCUGGAAUUUUAAGAGAAAACCCUAGCCGCCCUUGUGUUCUCCAGUGGUUGCCCCUGCCCCAAUCACUCCCAAAACAACACCCUGGAACCCUCUCCACCUCCCCAUCCCAAAUAUCAAACUAUUUUACCUCGAAUCACCCCAGAGCCUUUCGAAUCUCAAAAUGAAAGAGUGCACCCUAAAACCUCAAACUUCUGAUUCAGGUUUUCAGUGAGGAUUUUAGGUCCAUUUUGACUUUAUUCGUGUGUUCUGAUAAAGAACGCGCGAUUAAUCUCGGAUUGGACCAUAAAUUGGAGAUUUCGAAGUGUCAAGCCAUAUUUCCCAUCUGUUCGAGGUUUUAGGUAUUCCCUUUUCUUCUGUUAUCUUUUCUCCGGUUUUUCUUUUCGUAUUUCUAUCUUCUGCUUCCAUUUCUUUGUUGGAUUCCCUCUCAUUUUGAUUCGCAGUUUCUUAAAGGCCAUUUUCAUAUGCAUGUUAGUCUUCAAUCGUUUUGUUUUAAUCAAUGCAUUUAGUUUACUUAAUUAGUUAGUUUGAGUUUGUUAAGUUAGUUAAUUCAUACUUCAUUUAGUUAGAUUUUUAAAUUGUUUGAAAUCCUUUAAAGGUUGUUUUCCCUUGCUUUCAUGAGAUUGCAAGAGGCUUGGGGUUUAUUUUGUUUGAGUUUUGGGUUUGAAUCAUUUUUUUAGGAAAAACAGCCCGCUCAUUAGCUCAGCCCAAGGUCAACUUUGGCCCAUAUGGGUGUUGGUUUCUGAAGUAAUUUUCAGAGGACUGAAGGGUAAUUUGGAAAAUUGGCUUAGGGAAUCUAGGUAUAACAACCUUAGGAAGCUUCCAGGAAAGGGGGUUUUGGGACUGUUUUGAAAUUUUGAUAACUAAGGGAGGGGUAUCUGAGCUGAACGCAGAAAUAAAAGGGGACCUAAGGGGGUAAAAUAAGUUCUAAAAAAAUCUGCCCUACUUUGCUUGCCUAUAAAGGCACACUAAACUUGCCUUUCAAGGCAGAGGUUUUGAAGGGCUAAAAAUCCAAAAAAUCAAAAAUGGCUGAAGGUUUCAAAGAAGAAAAAACAUUGUUAUAUUGAUUUCUGAUUCCAGUUUCGAGGUCUUUUCUCCAUUUUAAAACAACUCUGGUUCAUUUGGGAAUUGGAAAUGGGUUGAUUUUGAGCUUGGAAAGGGUUUUGGUCCGAGCUCUGCUGGGGUUCACUGUUCCAUUGAUUUGGGAAUUGAUUUUUGUGGUUCUGAUUACUAAAUCUGGGUCAUUCUGUUACUGGAGCUGAUUUCUGCACUUGACACAGCUGAUUCCUCAUCUUUUACUUUGCCUUUUCAUUCCCAGGUACACCUCUGUAACCAUGUUGAUUGCGAAGUGAAAAAUUUGAGAAAAUGAGCUGAUAUGAAGAGUUGGAGCAUGAGAAUUUUACUUUGUUUCCUGAUUUGCUCUCAUCCUGAUGUACUGUGACCCUUUGCCUAAUCUAGGAUUAUAUGAGUGGUUUGUAAUUAUUAGCAGAAAUGAUGAUAGAUGCAUGAGUUAACUUUCAGUUCACCCCCUCUGAUUACCUCAAGUUUAUGCUUAUUCAUGGUUUAUUGAAAUGUUGUUAGCUUAAGUGUUGGAUUCUGCUUUUGGGUUUGGUCAUGCGUGGGUCAAGCCAGAAUGUGUUAGGUCCAGCUAUGGACUAUUUAAAUCGAGACAUCUAGAUCUUAUUUGGGUUGUUUAGUUUCAAUAGUGUAGUUUAACUUGGCAAUCCAUGUUAGUUGAAGGUAGAGGUUGAUUUGGGAAUUAUCAAGUUCUAUCAUUGAUUCAGCGUGUAUGGACUUGAUAUUUUUUUAGUAGUUUGGUUGGGCUAUAAUAAUUGAGUUUUGUUGUUCAUAAAGCAUAGAAAUCAUCAGGAGUUUAGGCUAUAAUGAUAUUGAUCCCUAUUAAGUG
rnacentral:lncRNA from 1 species